CAGGAAACUGAGCUGCUGCUCCAGACGACAGACCCUGAAGGCCAGGUAGCAGGAGGACAGGACCAGCAGGAAGACACUGAGACACACAGGGAGGACACAGAGGUCAGAGGUCACAGAGAUAAUAUUCCGCUGCUGAAGCUUCGAACACUUAGGAAUCUUCUGCUGAAGUACUGAUGUACUUUCACUUUGAGUGAGGUAUUUCAAGUUGUUGUAUUAAAUUGUAUUGUCACAUACUGAAGUAAAGAAUCUGAACAUUUCCACCACUGGAGUUUCUGCACCUGCAUAAAAGUGAAACUGGUUUUCCACACUGAUCUCUUUCCUCCGGCGCUGAUCAUCCGAACCUGGAUAAAAAACCUUUGAGUGUCGAGAGGGAACAGAACGUGUUGAGAUGAGUUUAGAGGCUGUGUGGACCUGCUGCAACCUGAACAACGACCUGCAGGGGGCAGCACUGACCAACAACACAAUAAAUAAUAAACUGGAGUGACUCUGACUCGUAGCUCAGCGAACACUGACGUUCUGAUUCAGGAUCUGAUCAGGACCGGUUGGAUUCAGAGUGCGUGUCUGUGCCUCUACACAUGAAGUGAUAUUGUGGGGCCGUGUUGUGUGUCUUCUGGAGGAUCGUGGUGCGUUCAGGGACUCACAGCAGGAUGAAGAGUUUGAGCAGCUGGUACUCCAUGUGACCCAGUUCAGGUGGGCGGGCCUACCUACCGGUCAGCGUGUGCGUGCUGAAGGGCGUGUCGGCGGCGAGGCUGGGGGAGGAGCUUCCCAGCAGGUCUGGGAGGGACGAGGAGACGACGGGCAGCGACGGC